CCUACGGGCGGCUGCAGUGAGGAAUAUUGGUCAAUGGACGAGAGUCUGAACCAGCCAAGUAGCGUGAAGGAUGACUGCCCUAUGGGUUGUAAACUUCUUUUAUAUAGGAAUAAAAUGUUCCACGUGUGGGUUUUUGUAUGUACCAUAUGAAUAAGGAUCGGCUAACUCCGUGCCAGCAGCCGCGGUAAUACGGAGGAUCCGAGCGUUAUCCGGAUUUAUUGGGUUUAAAGGGAGCGUAGGUGGAUUGUUAAGUCAGUUGUGAAAGUUUGCGGCUCAACCGUAAAAUUGCAGUUGAUACUGGCAGUCUUGAGUACAGUAGAGGUGGGCGGAAUUCGUGGUGUAGCGGUGAAAUGCUUAGAUAUCACGAAGAACUCCGAUUGCGAAGGCAGCUCACUGGACUGCAACUGACACUGAGGCUCGAAAGUGUGGGUAUCAAACAGGAUUAGAUACCCCAGUAGUC
rnacentral:rRNA from 1 species